GACGAACCGAGCGAACGUUAUUCGGAAUCACUGGGCUUAAAGGGCGCGUAGGCGGGCGGCCAAGUCAGGGGUGAAAGCCCCCAGCUCAACUGGGGAAGUGCCUCUGAUACUGGUCAUCUCGAGGGAGAUAGGGGCGUGCGGAACUUCCGGUGGAGCGGUGAAAUGCGUAGAUAUCAGGAGGAACACCGGUGGCGAAGGCGGGUCUCUGGGCAACAACUGACGCUGAGGAGCGAAAGCGUGGGGAGCGAACAGG
rnacentral:rRNA from 1 species